UUCCAGAAAGCGAUAAAAAGAAAGUCCAAAACAGCGUAGAAAAAGAAAAUCGAAGACAGCGAGAAAAAUAAGAUCGAAGAGAUUUUUUUUUAUGAGAGUUGUCACCUAAUUUCUAAGGAGUUGAGGUCAUUCCUUUCUCUUGCCUUUUGGGUAGAAGAAGGGUAUUGUUUUAGUUUGUUAUCGUUGUCUGAUCUUCGAUUUUUCUUAUCAUGGGUGGAUGUCAAGUCAACUUUCAUUUAUUUGUUUUGUUAUUUGAUAUAUUUUUCUUGCAGGUUCUUAUUAUUUGUUUGUGAGGGUUCUUUUCGGAACCUGUUAUAAAAUUGCUCUUAGUCGACUUGCUAAAAAGGGUUUUCGAUACUUUGAUUUGAGUAUUUCAGGACCAUACUGAUACGUCAUGUGGUUUUCGCUUUCGUAGGCCAUAGAUCAGUCGUGAGCUUUACUACAUCUCCUCUAUGCCGUGUGUUGCCAAAUCAUAGCUCUUUUGGCUUUAUCUAGGGAUCCUUCUGAUUUUUCCUUUUAUCUUGCAUGUCUGAUUUUUCUGUUCUUUCUUGUUGUUUUGAUUGAAUCUUUUUCUAUUUUGAUUUUUGAUAGAUUUCCUAUUGUUUUGCUGAUUGUCAACGUCAUCAACAUGUUGUCAUUGAUGCAGUGAUUGAUCGAUAAUGGUAGAGUGAAGCUGUGGUGUGGUGUGGGGUGUUAGGGGAUUGGUGAUAGCUGUUGAAGGUUAUUGGUUUUGGCUUCUUUGUUUUCAAUUUGAUUUUCUUUGGUUUGUCUGAGUGGUUUGAUUCUAUUGUGAAUUUAUUUUCUUUUGGAUUUUUGUCUUAGUGUGUACCCAUUUAUAUUUAGCCUACUAAACUUUGAAAAUACAUAUUCUCUUGCAUUGUAAGAAAAAGAAAACUAAAUUAUAGUUAAUAAUUGCUCAUGUACUAAGGCAGGAAACCUUAGUGAAAAGAUUUCAGAUGGAUAUAAAGGGCCUUUAGUAUUGAUC
rnacentral:lncRNA from 1 species